GAUCCAACCAGGUAGCAUUCCUCACCGACGUCGAUCGGAGAGACGCAAUCCGCUAGGACUCCAUCACAACCGAAGCGAACGUCGUUCGCACAUAGCGUCGAACGCUUUUUUYCGCGGGGCAAAUAGAGGCCGAGGGCCUCGUGCCCACCAUAUGUUCCGCAUCCCAGUGAUCGAGCUUCACGCCUUGGGUGGACGGCCCGUGCGCAUGUCAACAGGCGCACGAGAGCCAAUCACGACGCUUGCUGUGAGUUCCGCUCCGCACAACGACACCUAUCGGUGCCGCAACGCAGUACGGAAAACGUACGAUAUCGUCUUCGCAAUGCCUUCGCGACAGGUAUUGAGCACAGGAGACCAGCAUCGGACGGGGCUCGAGAGCGCCCGUGCCGAGGAUUGAAGAGGUGAGGUUGGGAUGCG
rnacentral:misc_RNA from 1 species